rnacentral:rRNA from 1 species
AAGGAAUAUUGGUCAAUGGACGAAAGUCUGAACCAGCCAUGCCGCGUGCAGGAUUAAGGCCCUAUGGGUCGUAAACUGCUUUUAUACGGGACAAAACCCCCCUACGUGUAGGGGGCUGAUGGUACUGUAAGAAUAAGGAUCGGCUAACUUCGUGCCAGCAGCCGCGGUAAUACGAAGGAUUCGAGCGUUAUCCGGAUUUAUUGGGUUUAAAGGGUGCGUAGGCGGACCGAUAAGUCAGUGGUGAAAGCCUGUUGCUUAACAACAGAACUGCCAUUGAUACUGCCGGUCUUGAGUACAGUUGAGGUAGGCGGAAUGUGUCAUGUAGUGGUGAAAUACUUAGAUAUGACACAGAACACCGAUUGCGAAGGCAGCUUGCUAAACUGUAACUGACGCUGAGGCACGAAAGCAUGGGGAGCAAAC